rnacentral:rRNA from 1 species
GUGCACCAGUCGAGAAUUUUUCUCAAUGGGGGCAACCCUGAAGGAGCGACGCCGCGUGGAGGAUGAAGGCUUUCGGGUUGUAAACUCCUGUCAUUUGGGAACAAGUUGGACGCAGUAACUACGCGUCCAUUGAUAGUACCAGAAGAGGAAGGGACGGCUAACUCUGUGCCAGCAGCCGCGGUAAUACAGAGGUCCCAAGCGUUGUUCGGAUUCAUUGGGCGUAAAGGGUGCGUAGGUGGCGCCGUAAGUGGGGUGUGAAAUUUCGGAGCUUAAACUCCGAAACUGCAUUCCAUACUGCGGUGCUUGAGGACUGGAGAGGAGACUGGAAUUCAUGGUGUAGCAGUGAAAUGCGUAGAGAUCAUGAGGAAGACCAGUGGCGAAAGGCGGGUCUCUGGACAGUUCCUGACACUGAGGCACGAAGGCCAGGGGAGCAAACGGGAUUAGAUACCCGCGUAGU